rnacentral:lncRNA from 1 species
CUUUUCGAGGUAGGAGUCGACUCCUGUGAGGUAUGGUGCUGGGUGCAGAUGCAGUGUGGCUCUGGAUAGCACCUUAUGGACAGUUGUGUCCCCAAGGAAGGAUGAGAAUAGCUACUGAAGUCCUAAAGAGCAAGCCUAACUCAAGCCAUUGGCACACAGGCAUUAGACAGAAAGCUGGAAGUUGAAAUGGUGGAGUCCAACUUGCCUGGACCAGCUUAAUGGUUCUGCUCCUGGUAACGUUUUUAUCCAUGGAUGACUUGCUUGGGUAUGGAGAGUCGGCUUGACUACACUGUGUGGAGCAAGUUUUAAAGAAGCAAAGGACUCAGAAUUCAUGAUUGAAGAAAUGCAGACCUGUUAUCCUAAACUAGGGUUUUUAAUGACCACAACAAGCAAGCAUGCAGCUUACUGCUUGAAAGGGUCUUGCCUCACCCAAGCUAGAGUGCAGUGGCCUUUGAAGCUUACUACAGCCUCAAACUUCUGGGCUCAAGUGAUCCUCAGCCUCCCAGUGGUCUUUGUAGACUGCCUGAUGGAGUCUCAUGGCACAAGAAGAUUAAAACAGUGUCUCCAAUUUUAAUAAAUUUUUGCAAUCCA